rnacentral:rRNA from 1 species
UACGUAGGGGGCAAGCGUUGUCCGGAAUUAUUGGGCGUAAAGAGCGUGUAGGCGGCCAGAUAAGUCCGCUGUGAAAUCUCGAGGCUCAACUUCGAGCUGUCGGUGGAAACUAUCUGGCUAGAGUCCGGAAGAGGAGAAUGGAAUUCCUGGUGUAGCGGUGAAAUGCGCAGAUAUCAGGAGGAACACCGAUGGCGAAGGCAGGUCUCUGGGCCGAUACUGACGCUGAGGAGCGAAAGCGUGGGGAGCGAACAGG